GGGUGGGCAGCGGGAGGGCUGGGCGUCAGAGCAGUCGGGCGGAGACGGGCCGGGAGCAGCCCUCCAUACAAGGCAGCCAGGAACUCCCAAAGUCGGCGCCGGCUCGCUCCCGCCGCCCGGCGUGCGCAGGCGGAGCGGACCAGCCCCGCGGGGCUCCCGGGGGACGGCCAGCCGCCCAGCGGGCAUCCACAGGCUGCAGAGGCUCCAACCCAGGACUUGGCUCGCGUCUUCGGGGGUUAUUUUUGCACAUGCAGGCAGCGUUCCCCCCCAGCCCUACUCCCAGGCGCAGAAUCCAGUGCCUGCCUGGGAAUCGUGAAGUGAUUUGACAACAAAUGUAGGAGGGGAGAUGCUUCUGAAAGAAAAAGACCCUUAUUAAUUCGAAAUGAAUUUUCCAGCUCUCUGAAGGCAAUCUCCCAAAACAAAGACUAAUAAUAAUACUACUACUAUUAAUUACUGGCCAAAUUUUAAGAGCGUGUGUGAUUUUAUGAUGCUUAGCCUGGUGAAUUUAUUUUUCCUUCCCACUUAUUUCUCCUUUUUUUAAUGCCUUAUUUGUUUUCUUUAUGUUCUUCGCAUCUCUGUCUUGCUCUUUGUUUCUUUCUACUCUGAGUGGCCUCACAAAAGGCACCCCACCGUGACUUAACUUAGUUUGUUUUAUGCUAGGCAUGGAUACUGUGGCAGCAGGAGCUGCGCAAAUGAGGGAUGAAGUGGGAUGUAAUGGGAUUGAGAACUACAGCUCAGGAGGGAUAUUUUAUAUAACUGAAGAUAGCAUUCCACUCCAAAAUUAGAUAAGUAAAUAGUCAAAUCCAUCAUUUCUUCCAUUUUUAAUAAUUCAAAAGCAGACUUUCUUCCCCAGCAUGAGGACUAAGAAGAGCAGAAUUAGAGAUGCCCAUUAUUGUCUAUGUGAUAUGUUGGUAUCAAUAGCCUCACUACCUAAAAAUACCAUUGUUAUAUAUUCUGUCAAUUAUUUCAACAUCAACUCCAGACUUCCCACUAUGGUACACUGUUUCCAAUUUUAUAUCUUUAGGAGAAAGGGCUUAAAGAAUAAAAGAAUGUAAUAAGCUUGUAGAGAAGGUAAGUCAGCCUUUAUUAUUAACUUUGUUGGCCUUUGAGCCAAAUCUCAAUUUCUUUGGAUCACUCUGUUGAAGCACUGAGUUCUCCAAUAUGUGAAGCUGUUGAGGAAAGAUAUUGCUUCUACAAUUCUUACUGAAAGGGUUGGUUAUCAUCUGUGAGCCUAAAUCAUUGUUUAAUACUCUGUUGCGAGGUUUGCUAUUAAUUGCUUUUUACCAAUCUAAACCUUCUUAUUGAGGAUAUUCAAAAUGUGGUUUUUUUUUAAAUGUAUGACAGCUAAAAGAAGACCAUUUCCAUAACAUAGCAUUAGGUUUCUGUUGGAUUAACUAUACCCAUAACAAUGCAUUUUUUCAGCUCAGUUCUGUUAUUUUGGAAAAUUCCCUUAAAAUCAGAUUAUAUCCCAUUAAUCUUAAUAAAAUUUUGCUUAAUCACGAUAAAUUUGCUGUUCAACAUGUUGACAAAUCAUAAGGAUUGUUGUUAAGCUGUUAUAGUAAAUGAUGUAAAUGUGCAGUAAAUACAGUUAAUAUAUUACAGGUUAUAAAUGAGCAAGAAGUCGCAAAUCAGUAUCUACUAUUCAUUUAAGAAGAAAUAUUUUAAUUAGUAAGUUAGUGAAGUAUUGCAGGAGAUUUUUGCAUUUAAUCAUUUCUAGAACAAAGUUUAAAGAGAUUUAAUUCAUGCAAAUCACUGACCUUUACCUAC
rnacentral:lncRNA from 1 species